AUGAUGCCCUGAGCAUUUCUCAUUCACUCACUCAUUUUCAUUCUGUUUUUGCACAACUUUGCAUUUAAUUAUUAUUUAUUAUUAAUCUCUGUCUCUCUCUUCCAUUCCAUUGUCUUUUGUUCUGUCUCUCUCCCCUCACCCCCAAAGAACUGCGACAGAUGGCCCCGCCCCUCCCUGAGCCUGGUUCUGCUGGAGGUUUCAUCCUGUUAAAAUGAGUUUUUCUUCCCACAGUUGCCAAGUGCUUGCUUAGAGGGGGUCAUCUGAUUUUUGGGGUUUCGUUCUAAUAUUGAAGGGUCUUUACCAUAUGAUAUAAAAUGUCUUGAGGUGACUUGUUGUGAAUUGGUACUACCGAAUUAUAACUGAAUUGUAUUUUACAUUUAAAAUCUCAAUCUGAAUCUUAAUGUAAAUCCUUGCUCAGUUUACAAAGUAGAUGUUCAAAUGGAAGAUGUGGCAGAUUUAAAAACCCUCUACAGCAUUUUCUUUUCCUCAUUCAAGUCUGUCCCAUAUCUAGCAAGUGAAAAUAAAAGAAAUAAAAAAAAAUAAAAUAAACAAUAAAAGGUGAAUCAAAUAGACCAUUACGGCAAGGCUGGGAUGGUCAAUAAGAAAAGAAAAGAAAAAAACAAAAACAAACCCUCAACAGCAGAUUAACAGAAGUUGUGUCCUUAAGAAACAGGGAAACAUGCUGUUUCGUAAGGACACAGAACACACAGAAACAGUAAAGCCCUGACACAGAACCUGUGAGACGUCCUUCAGUUAAUCCAGCUACUGUUCACCAAAGCUGCAUCAGAAGUGGUCUCAGUGGAAGGCCGGCUGUCAACAAGCCAAUUUCUAAGGGAGAAAAAGCUGUAGUAUGUCAAAUUAUUCAAAAUUAUUUCCCAUUUUUAUAGUAAAGUUUAAAGAAAUGAGGGUGACUCAAGCAUUUACACAAUAUUUAAUAGGAAUAUAGUUUAUUUUUAUUUAAAUAUUAAAAGAAAAACUAAAAAAAAAUCCAGGAGAUAAAAUCUAACACCUAAAUGGGUGUUCUGGAAAUUUUCUGUUCCCAGCCCCAAAAGAAGAUGUAAUGGAUUAAAACUGCUGUUCAACAUUAUAGCAGUAUUUACACACGAGUGCAGCAGUCAGCCAGGUCAGCAUGUGUGUGCUUGCUGGUAGCUGUUUUUACCUCCUAGCACUUACUCUUAAACACACAAAGGACAAAACUUCUAGCCUGAUGCCAAGAAUGAGAACUUCUUUGGUAGAGACUGAGACUGAGGUCAAAGGUUGCAGUAAUAGGUUAGUAAGGCAAAUAUAUUUAUAUAUUUUAUAUAUUUAUAUACGUUUUCAUGAGCGUGUUUAUGUUUAUCAG
ensembl:lncRNA